CAGCAGCCGCGGUAAUACGUAGGUGGCAAGCGUUGUCCGGAAUUAUUGGGCGUAAAGGGCUCGCAGGCGGUUUCUUAAGUCUGAUGUGAAAGCCCCCGGCUCAACCGGGGAGGGUCAUUGGAAACUGGGAAACUUGAGUGCAGAAGAGGAGAGUGGAAUUCCACGUGUAGCGGUGAAAUGCGUAGAGAUGUGGAGGAACACCAGUGGCGAAGGCGACUUUCUGGUCUGUAACUGACGCUGAUGUGCGAAAGCGUGGGGAUCAAACAGGAUUAGAUACCCCUGUAGUCCCUGUCUCUUAUAC
rnacentral:rRNA from 1 species